rnacentral:rRNA from 2 species
GAACCUGCGGAGGGAUCAUUACAGAGUUUUUAACUCCUAAAACCAUGUGAACUUACCACUGUUGCCUCGGUGGAAGGUACCCGAAAGGGUGCUGGAAGCCGGCGGACAUCUAAACUCUUGUUAAUUUUUGUUAUUCUGAAUCAAACUAAGAAAUAAGUUAAAACUUUCAACAACGGAUCUCUUGGUUCUGGCAUCGAUGAAGAACGCAGCGAAAUGCGAUAAGUAAUGUGAAUUGCAGAAUUCAGUGAAUCAUCGAAUCUUUGAACGCACAUUGCGCCCAUUAGUAUUCUAGUGGGCAUGCCUGUUCGAGCGUCAUUUCAACCCUUAAGCCUAGCUUAGUGUUGGGAGACUGCCUAAUACGCAGCUCCUCAAAACCAGUGGCAGAGUUUUUACGUACUCUGAGCGCAGUAAUUCUAUUCUCGCUUUUGAACACGUCUAGACGAUAGCCAAAAACCGCUUGCCUCGGCAGCACUUUUUAAUGGUUGACCUCGGAUCAGGUAGGAAUACCCGCUGAACUUAAGCAUAUCAAUAAGCGGAGGAA